GAGUUUGAUCCUGGCUCAGAACGAACGCUGGCGGCAGGCUUAACACAUGCAAGUCGAGCGCGUAGCAAUACGAGCGGCAGACGGGUGAGUAACGCGUGGGAAUCUACCGAGCCCUAAGGAAUAGCUCCGGGAAACUGGAAUUAAUACCUUAUACGCCCUUCGGGGAAAGGAUUUAUCGGGUUUGAUGAGCCCGCGUUGGAUUAGCUAGUUGGUGGGGUAAAGGCCUACCAAGGCGACGAUCCGUAGCUGGUCUGAGAGGACGACCAGCCACACUGGGACUGAGACACGGCCCAGACUCCUACGGGAGGCAGCAGUGGGGAAGUA
rnacentral:rRNA from 1 species